rnacentral:rRNA from 1 species
UAUUGGUCAAUGGGCGAGAGCCUGAACCAGCCAAGUCGCGUGAAGGAUGACGGCCCUACGGGUUGUAAACUUCUUUUGUCAGGGAGCAAUUGGGUCCACGCGUGGGCUUAGCGAGAGUACCUGAAGAAAAAGCAUCGGCUAACUCCGUGCCUGCAGCCGCGGUAAUACGGAGGAUGCGAGCGUUAUCCGGAUUUAUUGGGUUUAAAGGGUGCGUAGGCGGAGUGUCAAGUCAGCGGUAAAGUUUCGGGGCUCAACCCCGUCGUGCCGUUGAAACUGACACUCUUGAGUGAGUGAGAAGUAAGCGGAAUGCGUGGUGUAGCGGUGAAAUGCAUAGAUAUCACGCAGAACGCCGAUUGCGAAGGCAGCUUACCGGCGCUCAACUGACGCUGAGGCACGAAAGUGCGGGUAUCG